rnacentral:rRNA from 1 species
UACAUGGGGUGCAAACGUUGCUCGGAAUUAUUGGGCGUAAAGCGCACGUAGGCGGUUUGUUAAGUCGGAUGUGAAAUCCCUCGGCUCAACUGAGGAAGUGCAUCCGAAACUGGCAAGCUUGAGUACGAAAGAGGGUCGCUGAAUUCCCGGUGUAGAGGUGAAAUUCGUAGAUAUCGGGAGGAACACCGGUGGCGAAGGCGGCGACCUGGGUCGAUACUGACGCUGAGGUGCGAAAGCGUGGGGAGCAAACAGG